UACGGAGGGUGCAAGCGUUGUUCGGAAUCACUGGGCGUAAAGGGCGUGUAGGCGGUCCGCUAAGUCUGAUGUGAAAGCCCGGGGCUCACCCCCGGAAGGGCAUUGGAAACUGGCGGACUCGAGUCCCGGAGAGGAAGGUGGAAUUCCUGGUGUAGCGGUGAAAUGCGUAGAUAUCAGGAGGAAUACCGGUGGCGAAGGCGGCCUUCUGGACGGUGACUGACGCUGAGACGCGAAAGCAUGGGGAGCAAACAGG
rnacentral:rRNA from 1 species